rnacentral:tRNA from 1 species
GCCCCUGGUUAGCUCUGUUGGUAGAGCACUCCACUGGGAAUGGAGAGGUCCCGGGUUCGAUUCCCGGACCAGGCG